ACAAGUGCAGUGUGGAAAGGCCAGGCCUCAAGUGUCCAAGUUUAUAGGGAACUCAGAGGGUCCCAAGGCAAGGCUCACAAGGAGGGGGCAGAACUUAAAGGCUAAGAAAGUGUGCAAGUACAGAUCAGUAUGCUAAAAGGUAAAAGGAGAGGGAAAUAGCUAUAGAUAAGCACAAAUAAGGGGUUCAGGGGAAUAGGGAGAUUGUAAAGAGCUUAUUGUUUAGCCACGGGCAGACUCUAGGCAUGCCCAGUAAUAGAGAGUGCUAGCACACCUAUAAGCCUUCCAGAACAUAUGUUAUUAGAGACUAGGAUCCCAGGGGAUCAAAUUUGAUACAUGGAUAAUAACUUGCAAUAUUGUCAUACUUUAAAUCAUAGCUUAAAAACAUAGUGGUUAGGGGUUUUGGGUUCAUAGUAGGACAUGAAGAAAGAAAUCAGUAUGUUAGAAUGAGUGUUGAACUAUACACAAACAGUAAACAGGAAUACAAAAGCAGUAAAUAAACCCAUUGUAGUGGGGCUAAAACUUAAAUCAGGACAUACUAGUUUCAAGGAAACAAAUAGAGAAAGCAAGCAACAGGUCUUGUAAUAAGCCACAGUAUAAGCAAACAAGAGAGAAAACGUUUGAGUGUAUGUGCAAGUUUAGAAAGACUACCAGUGAUGAUGUUUGUUAAUCAAAGAAUCGUGUAUUUAUAGUGAGAAAAAUAGGCGGAAAUAAGGUAAGAAAAUAAUUAAGAAACUGGGUAUCAAUUAGAAUCAAUCAAUACAAGACUUUCUUUAAUUGAGGAAUUUAAAUGGUAAUGAUCAAGGAAAUUAUUUAAGGAAAGAGAUCAAACAAACAUUUCUGUGCAAAGUAGGUAAUUAAGGGUAAAUACAUAAGAAAUUACUUAAUGGCAGAAUUUUGAAACACACAGUUACAUAAAUAAGGUAAAAAAUCAAUUAGUAGACAGUAAAUCAAGGAUCAAAGAUUUUGUAAUCACUGGUCCAUGAAUGAACCAAGUCAGAAAAGCUAAGGAAAGUUUUUUACUUAAAUUGAGUCAUAGGGAAAUUAGAAAACAAGGAAAGAAAUCAAUCAAACCUAUCUAAAGAAAGUCUAAAAUUAAUCAAAACUGAAAGCCAUUUUAGAGAGAAGUUCAGCACAUAUAAAGAGCAUACAAACAUGCUAAGCUGAAUUUAGGGCAAAGAAAAAUGUCAUUCCAUUACAAAAUCAGUAGGUAAUAGGCUAUGGGAUCAUAAUAGUCAAAUAGGUCAGUAAUAUUAGAGAGAUAGUAUCAAAUAGCAUACAAAAGGUCCAGUGUAAAGCCCUUGGAAGAGUUUAGUGGAGAAUCAUAAUUGCUUAAAGAAGCAGAGGUUGAAACAAAAAUUUCAAGACUCAAUUUGAGCAACAGAUGAAAAAAAUUCAAAAACUCGAAAUAGUUAGGGUUUCUGAAAUCAGACAAUUUCAAAGAUGAAGAACAAUCAUAUCGCAUAGCCAAUGUUCUCAAACUCAGAUGAACCCCCAAAUUCUAGGGUUUUACUAUCAAUCAGGUGCAGAGAUGAGAGGACAAGUAAUCAAGGAAAAAAAUACUAAUCAAAAUAGGUUCAGAGGUCUUAAUAAAGAACUGAGACCUUUAACAUGCUCUUUCCGUAGCAGGAACUCAUGAGAAGCAUAGUAAAAGAACAACAUGUGAAACACAGUAGAGGAACUGAAAGAAACAUAGUAGAAGAACUGAUAAGAAACCAAAUGAAAGAAACUAAUAAUAAUAGUAGGAGAAGCAUAUUAGAAUAAACUUAACAAGAACAUAGUAGGAGAAAUAUAGUAGAUGAAACAUAGUAGGAAAAACACACAAAGAACACAUAGAGAAACAUAUAAAAUCGAUAGAGGAAAUUGAGAAGAACAUGGUAGGAGAAACUUAACAAGAAACAUAGUAGAAGAAGCACACAAAGAACACAUUAGAAGAAACAUAGUAGGAGAAACACAUAAAGAACACAGUACAAAAAACAUCUAAAUAACUCCAAAAAAAACCUAGAUCGCAAAAAUAUAAAGGUUUUGAAAGAAAUAUCAAGAAAUCAUUUAAAAGUUUAGGAAAAUUACGGAUCUAGAACAAAUCUAAAGAAAAUAGAAGAACCUCAAAAGCUAUGGUUUCAGAGGAACCCAAACGGUGAGAAAGGCUUAGAUAGAUUUAAGCAGGACGAGUCGAAGCCAGGCUCGAAACGGACAUGGUUUGUCGGAGCAAGGGAUGGCGAUAAAAAUUGAAUCGAACAAGGUCUGGAUGAAGCUUCUUCAUGGUCAGACCAUGAAACUUCAGCAACCAAGCGUGUAAAAACCAUGGAAGGCUGGUAGGUGGUGAGACCACCAUGGACUCAGGCCAUGAGGUAGCCAGAGAAGGUGAGUGAAACUCAUCGGAGCAAAGGAAAAGGGGAAAUGUUCUAGAGAGAACCAGAGACAGA
rnacentral:lncRNA from 1 species